UUGGCUGGAGCUCACCAUGGCAACCGCCAGCAUCCUUGGGGAGUCUGGACCACAUAAUGGAGGCUCUGCUCAACAUCCCUGGAAAGUGGCUGGAUUGGAUGGCAGCACUGGGGGCAUCGCAGGGCCUCCCUCGCCUGGGCUCCUCAGGAGGGAGAGACCCUCCCCUUUAAGGCAACUGAAGUAUUCAUUUAUUUUCAUUUUUUAUUACAUAGGCUUUUAUACCACCUUUAUUAUUUCUCUAAAUAGCCCAAGGCAGUGAACCUAUCUAAGAUUCCUUCAUCCCACAAAAACAACCUUGUGAAGGCUGAGAGAGAGACUGGUUGCAGGUCACCCACCUGUCUUUCGUGGCUGAGAUGGGACUCAUUAAGGUGACAAUGAAAAGGAAGUAGUCAAUAGAAGCCUACAGCUGAAAGGGACCUUGUGAGCAACAAGGAAGAAAUGGUCAAUAUCCUUGGGCGAUCUCUCAGUGACCACUGAUGGUCCCAACCUCCAGGUUGAUGAACUGAGAGACUCCUUUGACUUUCAGUCCCAGAAAUUCCAGAAAGAAAAUCAAUGGAUGAAAGAUCAGCACAGCUGUCUCCAGGAGAAAGUGGAUUAACUUAAGACCACAACAGAAGACCUGCAGAAAACCUGCAGAAGAUCAUGUCAUCAGUUAGAGCUAGAGAACACAUCUUUGAUGAAAUACAUUGAAGAACUCCACAAAGAACUAGCCAAUUGUCCAUCUCAGCCGAGAGAAGGUGACUCUGAGAAAGACCUCGAAGAGGUGAGGAACCUUCCGCCAGAAGGUAAGAAAUUCCUCCAGAGUCUACAGCAUGAACUGGCUGAGAUGGACCACAAUUACCAUGUGGAGAAAAGCCAUUACAGCCAACUGAGAAAGUCGGACUAUGAGAGAAAACAAGCAGAAGCACAGUCUGCAGCAGCCACAUCAGACCUCCCAGAUCCGGCUCUGGCCAGACUCACCUGGCACACUAGGUAUCAAGCCCCCCCGCUUCUUCUCCCAGGUACACCAGAUGAGAAACAUGAUGUAACUCUACUUUAUUGGAAGGGCACAUAAGAGAACCUUGCAUGUCUGAAAGUACAAAUCUCCCACCAAAGCUUUUGAAAGCCUGAAAAAUGAGGGAGGGUCCUUUCUGAGGUUCUUUCUCUGCCAAUUAUGCACCUGGGAGCUCCCUCCCCCCUUAUCUGAUCAUUCCCUGUGCAGCAUCUUCUCCAUCUAUUCUUCUAUAUUGUCAUUAAUACAGGCGGGAUAGUUGAAGAAAUAGGAUUUUUUCAGGAUGCAACAUUUAUAUCGACUCUUAGACAAAGCUACUUUGAUGUUGUUUUAAAAAUACCACCCAGUUUUUAGAACAAUAUCUAUGAUUUCCUAAUAGAGUGCAUAAGUAAAAUCCAGUAGAAAAAUAAAUAAUUUUAGCAGGAGGACUUAACAAGCUCUCCUAUUUUAUAUAAGAACAAACGAAUGGCAGCUACAAUGUGAAUCUUUCAUUAAGAUUUCAUUUGUACUUUUUCUCAUAUCAUUUCUUUUUUUCAAAUCUAUUUUUCAUUUCAUUCAAAACCUCCAAAAAAUGGGGGGGGGAAUGACAGACAAGCCCCCAAAGCUAAAUAAAACUAGAUUAAAAAGUGCAUAAAAAGAUAAAAGGGGAGAAAAGAACCAGUUCAGAUGAGGAAACCAGGAACAGGGAAAAAACCCCUGCUGAGUCUGGCUGCCAUCUUGGGGGGAGUCGGAAAAACACUUUCCUUCCAGUGGUUCAGCAGCUGCCACCCCUGGAUGCUCAGCCAGCAGUCCUGAGUCCUGCAGGUCAUUUUCCACCAGAUGUCCAGGAAUUUGAACCCCUGGCAUGGUCCUUCCUGACCUGGGCAACUGGAGAGCCCACCUGGUUUCUGUCAUGUGUGUUUUUCCCUAUUGUUUAUGGGAGAGGCAUUCUUUGUCCAGUUCCUCUCAUGAGUCCUCUCCAGUAUGGUUGAACCUCAGGUGUAGCCCUCAUCUUCCUCUGAGCACACAAGCCCCACAACCACGUCAAGGUCCUGCCUCACAGGGGGAUUGUGGUUCUUCACACCGUCAGCCAGAUUGGAUGUCAGCUCUUCCAAGGAAAGCGGCCUUUGGCAAUUGACCAAUGGUGAGGUUGUCAAUGCCAUGGGUGUCGAAAUGGGGCUCCAAUUGUUUUGGGAUUUCACUGAUGGCAGUUAUUCAUCAUGGGGCAAAAAAAGCACCAAUUUAAUAUUUUAAUAAUAAAAUAAUAAAUAAGCAAGAAGCAAUAAAUAAAUAAAACUUAGCAACCUAGUUAGUAUUUAAAAGUACCAGGCUCCCACUCUUCUUUCUUUUUAGCUUCCAAGGCCAGCCAUCCCCACCCAAAAAUCCAAAGCAGGAAAUGCAGCGCAACCAAGGACACCAGGUGACCUCAAGAGACCCCAAAUCCUCUCCCUUCAGCUAGGACUCUUCUUGUGGACAAGUCCUUGGUCCACUCACUUCUUCCCGCCUCCAAGUUGUCCACUGACUGCAGUCACCUGGGUUUUUCCGUCUCUUGAAUGGAAUCCAUCCAAGAAUUAAAUAACAAUAAUAUCAUCAUAAUGGAAAAAACCUGAUAACCAAAUUAGUUCAAACACUUUCCAACCAUCAUAUUGUUGAGCAAGGUAGAACGUCUGACAUCCUUCUUCGUUCAUCAAUGAUGGUGAUGUUGGGGUUGAUGGGUUCCGGUAUGUAGGGUUCCACUGUGAUGGAGGCCGACUCAACAUCCUUAGUUGGUUGCUCUGGUGACACUUGCAAACACCUUUUUAUGGGAAUUGAAGAAAAAAACAAUAAUUCCCACAUCACCAUAAUUGAUGAAAGACGAUGUCAGAUAUUCAGCCCUGGUCAACAAUGCGAUGGUUGGCAUCUCUUCCAUCUUGUGCAAGGUAGAACGUCUGACAUCCUCCUUCGUUCAUCAAUGAUGGUGAGGUUGGGGUUGAUGGGUUCCGGUAUGUAGGGUUCUACCGUGAUGAUGGCGGCCUCCACAUCUUCACUUCAUUGCUCUGGUGACACUUGCAGACACCUUUUCCUGGGGAUUGAAGAAGAAAAAAAGAAUAAAAUAUCACUGACUGGUACAUUCUUUUCUUAACAAGGAUAAUAAACCUAUUCUUAAUGGGAGCCCCAUUAGUGGAGAUUUUCAAGGAAAGGUUGGGGGUUGGACUAGAAGACCUCCAAGGUCCCUUCCACCCCUGAGGGACUCUAUCCUUUCUCCUGUUAGUCCCACCAACAUUUUGGGAGGCUUUCAGUGCCCCAGGGCUCCCCAGGUUGUGGUGAGGCCACUCCCCUGAUCAGGAGCAACUUACCUGCACUGGUGGAAGAAAACGCAGAGGCCAACCAAUGCAUAGACCCCAAGGACAAACAAGGUCACUUUCCAUGGUCUCUAAGGACGUUCUGGGGUCUGUCAAGGGAUGGUCACAGCAGCUCAUUUGGGUCCAUCUCUCUGUCUCUCUGAUCCACCCAAGCUUUUAUAGCCUGCAUGGCCCCACCCAACAACGGAAAAGAGUUCAACAAAAUCCAGCAGGUGUGAGAUUCAAAUAAUUUAACAACCGGCUCUGUGCCCUCGUGACCAUUUUAAGUAUAAAAAAAUGGAUAUUAAGUCUUAUUUUGGGGGGAUGUCUUACUUUACAGCAGGUGGGGGGAGGGAGGCUGCACAGAAUUCAGCACCUGGCGCCCAGAUUGCUUCUGUUUCUGUCCAUUUGACUCGUAUGAUGGACAGUAGAAAUCUUAUGAUCUGUGUGAAGGUUAUAGAGAACAGCAGACUUAACAGUAUCUGAAUGAGGAUGGUGUAUAUUUUAUACAGUUUGUCCUGAGAGCAUCAACCAGGCAGGGCAACUGUGCAGUGUUGAAAAACGAAUAAAAGUAGUAAAAACAGUAAAA